GAGGCUCUCUCAAGCCUUGUAAGAGAAAGUCCCACUUGGUUGCCCAGUUGCUUUGAGAUUUCUUGUCUAUGUUUUCGGUUACAUCUUAAUCUCUGGGUGUUUUCAAAAUCAGACUACAUUUCAGUCCAGUUUGUUGGUGAAUUUGUCCAGAUUGCUGGUGUAAAGCUUUAAAGUUUUAAGUGUUCCUUGGAGCUUUGAAGUCUCGGCCAGCAGCUUGUGGAGUUCACAGGUUCUAUUGUGUUAUUUCAGCCUCAGUUUUCGGCCAGCAACUUGUGGAGAUCACAGGUUGAAGUUGGUUAUUCAGCUUUGGUGCUGUGUGGGUUUGCUUCUUGUGUCGGCCUGUUUUGUUUCAGAACUUUGGUGAGGAAAUACAUGGAAAUGGACGGUCAUUUUCACAAUGGCCUUUGAACAUUAAAAAAAAAAAAAAUUAAAAAUUGAAAUAGAUAUAUAAAUUACCAUUUGCUAAUUUUGGCCUCAUCUUUAACCAAAGAAAGGAGAGGAAAGAAAAUAGGGGAAAAAAGAAGAAAAUUUCCCACAGUCAGCUGUAAUGGUCGGAUCCUGUCAAGAGUUGUUAUCUCGACAGUCUACCGAACAUCGAAAACCACAAAACUCGGUCAUUAUCUUCAACGAGGUUAGUUUUUUGUGAAAUUAAGACGAUGAUUUUUUGUUUUGCAUAUCCUGUG
rnacentral:lncRNA from 1 species